CCCUUAUCUUCCUAGCUUCCCUUGAGUUAAUGACCAUUAUCUUAUUCCCAAAAGAAGAAAUUGAGAUAUUUUCUAAUAUCCAGUAAUCUAAAGUUUUUCCUUCUGUCUUUCAUACAGGUUGCUUCAUCCCUACCUUUACAAAUACAGACAGCUAUUUUUGGUUCCCCCCAUCUUCUUCCCCACACCGUGGUUCAACUC
rnacentral:lncRNA from 1 species